rnacentral:piRNA from 1 species
UGAUUUCUGAGAAGUUCACAAGUAUCCUA